rnacentral:rRNA from 1 species
GACGUAGGGCGCGAGCGUUGUCCGGAUUUAUUGGGCGUAAAGAGCUCGUAGGCGGCUCGUUGCGUCGGCUGUGAAAACCCGCAGCUCAACUGUGGGCUUGCAGCCGAUACGGGCGGGCUGGAGUUCGGUAGGGGAGACUGGAAUUCCUGGUGGAGCGGUGAAAUGCGCAGAUAUCAGGAGGAACACCGGUGGCGAAGGCGGGUCUCUGGGCCGAUACUGACGCUGAGGAGCGAAAGCGUGGGGAGCGAACAGG